rnacentral:rRNA from 1 species
AAGGUCUUCGGAUCGUAAAGCUCUGUUGUUAGGGAAGAACAAAUGUGUAGUAACUGUGCACAUCUUGACGGUACCUAACCAGAAGCCACGGCUAACUACGUGCCAGCAGCCGCGGUAAUACGUAGGUGGCAAGCGUUAUCCGGAAUUAUUGGGCGUAAAGCGCCGUAGGCGGUUUUUUAAGUCUGAUGUGAAAGCCCACGGCUCAACCGUGGAGGGUCAUUGGAAACUGGAAAACUUGAGUGCAGAAGAGGAAAGUGGAAUUCCAUGUGUAGCGGUGAUGCGCAGAGAUAUGGAGGAACACCAGUGGCGAAGGCGGCUUUCUGGUCUGCAACUGACGCUGAUGUGCGAAAGCGUGGGGAUCAAACAGGAUUAGAUACCCUGGUAGUCCACGCGUAAACGAUGAGUGCUAAGUGUUAGGGGGUUUCCGCCCCUUAGUGCUGCAGCUAACGCAUUAAGCACUCCGCCUGGGGAGUACGGUCGCAAGACUAACUCAAAGGAAUUGACGGGGACCCGCACAAGCGGUGGAGCAUGUGGUUUAAUUCGAAGCAACGCGAAGAACCUUACCAAAUCUUGACAUCCUUUGACCGCUCUAGAGAUAGAGUUUUCCUCUUCGGAGGACAAAGUGACAGGUGGUGCAUGGUUGUCGUCCUCGUGUCGUGAGAUGUUGGGUUAAGUCCCGCAACGAGCGCAACCCUUGACUUAGUUGCCAUCAUUCAGUUGGGCACUCUAAGUUGACUGCCGGUGACAAACCGGAGGAAGGUGGGGAUGACGUCAAAUCAUCAUGCCCCUUAUGAUUUGGGCUACACGUGCUACAAUGGACAAUACAGGGCAGCGAAACCGCGAGGUCAAGCAAAUCCCAUAAAGUUGUUCUCAGUUCGGAUUGUAGUCUGCAACUCGAC